GACGAACGCUGGCGGCGUGCUUAAUACAUGCAAGUCGAACGAGGUCGACCUUCGGGUCACAUGGCCUAGUGGCGAACGGGUGAGUAACACGUGAGAAACCUACCCCAAAGUUCGGGAUAACUCAGGGAAACUUGAGCUAAUACCGAAUACCUUUUUUGAAUCGAGUGGUUCUUUAAAGAAAGAUUUAUCGUUUUGGGAGGGUCUCGCGGCCUAUCAGCUUGAUGGUGAGGUAACGGCUCACCAUGGCAAUGACGGGUAGCUGGUCUGAGAGGACGAUCAGCCACACUGGGACUGAGACACGGCCCAGACUCCUACGGGAGGCAGCAGUAGGGAAUCUUGCGCAAUGGGCGAAAGCCUGACGCAGCGACGCCGCGUGGGGGAUGAAGGCCUUAGGGUCGUAAACCCCUUUCGGUAGGGACGAAAAUGACGGUACCUACAGAAGAAGCCCCGGCCAACUACG
rnacentral:rRNA from 1 species